AUGGUGCAUCCAGAGCAAAGCAAUGAUGAUAACCUCAUGCUGGACCUGCGCAAGUACAUCCUGGUGAUGGCCAUCCUGGCGGCGACGGUGACCUAUGUCGCUGGGCUCAACCCGCCUGGAGGAGUCUGGCUGAGCAGCAAGGACGGCUACCUCAUCGGCAACCAGAUUCUUGUGGUGACGGACCACCCCCGGUACAACGCCUUCUUCUACAGCAACGGGGCCGCAUUCAUGGCGUCGGUCGUGGUAAUCCUCCUCCUCCUCCUCGUGGAGCAGAGGGAGAAUGCCGAAAAAGGCUCCUCGCCCCGCUUUAUAGAUAAAGCAAUAACCACGCGGUGGUGGCAGAAUCCCAAGCCGCUCAUCCUCCUCGCGCUGAGGGUGGUCAUGGCGCUGGACAUGCUCGCGCUCAUGGUGGCAUACGCUGCAGGGGCCAGCCGUGGAAUGGUCACAACUGUCUUCUCCUCCGUGCUGGUAUCUGUUGUCUCCAUCUAUGCUGUGUUUCAUAUGAUCAAGUAUAUCAGCGCAGGAAAACUGGAAGAAAAUGCUGAAGCCAGUGGCGAGGAUAAAAAACUUGAGCGGGCACGUCAGAUUAUGAUGUUGUUUGCAAUUUUUGCGGCAACAAUAACCUACAUGGCGGGGAUGAGCCCCCCAGGUGGCUUCUGGCCGGAUACCCAGGACAGCCACCGUGCCGGUGACCCGGUCCUGCUAGAUGACCACUCACGCCGGUUUGUGGCCUUCUUCGUCUGCAACACCUUUGCAUUCAUCACAUCCCUAGCUGCCAUCAUGCUACUUACAACCGUCACCAGCAAGCUCGAGGAGGGCUCUUACAAGAAGUGGUGCCACCAUGCGCCAUACGUGUGCGUAAACGUGGCAUUGCUUGGCCUUUUCGUGGCCUACGCCAUUGGGAGCUGCAGGAAGACUCGCUCUACCGUCUACUUAUUCAGUCUGGUUCUCCCGGUUCUCAUAUACACCGUUCUCCAGUUCAUGAUCCAGAAAUUCCUGGAGCAAAUAAAAAGACUUCUAGCAUCAUGUUUGAUCGAGAACAAUCUAAGAUCAUGCUGGGGCAGGAAUGACAAUGACCAUGAGAAAGACAACCGGCUGAAGAAGGCCCAUUCUCUCGUACUGCUACUUGCAACCCUUGCCACGACCAUCACCUACCAAGCGGGGAUGAACCCACCGGGUGGCUUCUGGCCCGACAACCGUGACGGGCACAAGGGAGGUGACCCGGUACUUGUAACCACGCAUGCUAGACGCUACAGGGUGUUCUUCUACUGCAACUCGGUCGCCCUUGUGACUUCCGUAGUUGUCAUCGUCAUGGUCCUGAGCAAGCAUGUGACAUCAAGCGUCGUCCACAAGCGACACGCCCUGGAGGCUGCCAUGAUACUAGACCUGCUCAGCCUCAUGGCUGCGUAUGCAGUCGGCUGUUGCCGGGAUGUAACCACCUCCCUCCACGUCAUCGCUCUGGCUGGUGCAGUAUUGGUCUACGUGGUGAUCCACAUCGUCUUCUUCACGCUAGAUCCUAAGGUCAGGCCGGAGGAGGAGAUGAACAAGAAACACAAGCUGCUGCUGCUGCUAGCCAUCUUGGCCGCAACCAUCACUUACCAAGCUGGGUUGACCCCACCUGGCGGCUUUUGGGGUGAGGACGACGGGUUUGGUCAUAGAGCAGGUUAUCCUGUCCUCUUGAGUAACUACCCUCGCCGUUACACAACGUUCUUCUACUGCAACGCCACGAGCUUUAUGGCAUCCAUAGCCAUGAUCAUCCUCCUUGUGAAUCCGAACCUGUACACACCCGGCAUAAAUUGUUAUGCACUCUAUGUGUGUGCUCUGGCGGGCUUAUUUGGCCUCGUGGGUGCCUAUGUCGCAGGAAGCUCCCGGCAUGUGCGGACAUCCAUCAUUGUGGUUGCAUUGGUUGCUGUGGUGUUCGUGUUUGUCAUCUUACUGCUUAUAGUGCUGAAGCAGAAUAAAGAUCCCAAGCCUACAAAGAGCCAGGUAGAUGAAAAGGGCACAGAAGAAAAAAAUAUCCAGGAAGAUGGAAAGGGUACAGAGGAAAAAAUGAUCCAGGAAGUUGAAAAGGGUACAGAAGAAAAAAAUAUCCAGGAAGAUGAAGAGGGUACAGAAGAAAAAAAGAUCCAGGAAGUUGAAGAGGGUACAGAAGAAAAAAAGAUCCAGGAAGAUGAAGAGGGUACAGAAGAAAAAAAGAUCCAGGAAGAUGAAGAGGGUACAGAAGAAAACAAGAUCCAGGAAGUUGAAAAAGGUACAGAAGAAAAAAAGACUCAGGAAGAAAAAAAGCGUACUAUUAAAGAAAAAAAAGAAUACACCAAGGGAAAGUAUUUGAUGCUGGUGGGCAUCUUAGUGGCGAGUGUCACCUAUCAGGCCGGCCUUACUCCACCCGGCGGAGUGUGGCCGGACAGCAGCAAUGGGCACACGGCUGGCGACUCGGUCCUGCAUGACAGCAACAAGCACCGGUACCGUUUUUUUUUCUACAGCAACUCCAUUUCCUUCCUAGCGUCGGCCAUCGUCAUCCUCCUACUCCUGCUGGACAAGCCACUGUUUUCGGAGAAGGGACUCCUAGGCAUGAAGAGCAAGGAGCUGCUCCGAGUAGCGCAGUCUUCGGUUGUGCUGGCCUUGCUUGGCCUCCUUUGGGCAUAUGCCUCUGGCUGCAGCCGCGAGUGGGAGACAUUUGGUUACAUUGGCGCACUUGCCUUUGCCGUGCUGCUCUACAUUGCCAUCCAUGUGGAUUCAACUCGCCAGGGGGAGUACGGCAUCAGAAGCCGCAGAGCCACUGACAAUGCCAUCUACGUGUGCAGUCUCGGUGGUGUCAUUCUUGAAUACAUUUUCUUCCACGUGGUGUUUCAUGGGUGUGCCAUGGAAGUUGAAGUGACUCAGACCAACAGCAGGAGGCCGAGCGCGCCGUGGCAGAGGAAGGAGCGUGAGCGAGCAGCUGUAGCAGCAGCUGCUGCGGCAGCAAGGGUGUCGAGGCUGGCUGCAGCGGAGCUAGCAACAGCCAGAGCGGAGGUAGAAGCAGCCAGGGCGGAGGUAGAAGCAGCAGCAGCAGCAGACGCAGCACGUGAGGCUACGGCGGAUGCCAAAGCACUCCGCGGCGGCUCCGGCAGCUCCAACAGCUCCGCGCCUGCGGACGACGGCGCUGACGCAGACCGCGCCAAAAUGGCGCAAGAGCGGACGACGCAGUGGGCAGCCGAGCACGCCCGCGCUCCAGGUGGAGGUGCGCACCGCGACGGCGGCUGCAACGACCAGGACCGCGGCCUCUACGAGGUCCGGACUGUGGUCAGGGACGUUGGUCCCAGUGCUGGGUGGCCUACCCUCACUAAAACCAACUACAUCGAGUGGGCCGGGAUCAUGAAGGUCAGGCUCCAGGUGCGGCGCAUGUGGGAGGCAGUCCAGGACAGCAACGUCGACCACCAAGAGGACCGACGGGCGCUGGACGCCCUCAUCGUCGCAGUCCCGCCCGAGAUGCAGUUCUCGCUUUCCAGCAAGCGGACUGCCAAGGAAGCUUGGGACGCCAUCGCCGCGGCACGCAUCGGCAGCGACCGUGCUCGCAAGUCCACUCUGCAGGCACUUCGUAAGGAGUGGGAGAGCCUGGCUUUCAAGCCAGGUGAGGACAUUGAUGACUUUGCUCUCCGUCUCAACACUCUGCUGCAGAAGUUGGUGAAGUUUGGUGAUGCCACCUACACCGAGGAGAGAGCUGUCGAGAAGCUUUUUCGGUGCAUCCCCGAGAAGUACAAGCAGAUGGCUCGGUCGAUCGAGUCUUUGCUGGACCUCUCCACGAUGACAAUCGAGAAGGCGAUAGGUGCCUCAAGGUCGUCGACACCGACGAGCCACAGCCUUCCUCGGGGCCCAUCACCACCGGCGGGAAGCUGCUCCUAA
rnacentral:rRNA from 1 species